CAUUAGAUGACUGAAAGCAAGUAUUAGUCUCUUAAACUAAAUUAUAGUAAUCUAGCAACUACUUCUAAUGA
rnacentral:tRNA from 1 species